CCACGUGACUGUGGACGGGUGCCGCUGGAUAUCAAGAGGGCCUACUCAGAGAAGGGGCCCCCUGCCAACAUCCGAGAGGGCCUGUCCAUCAUGCAUGAAGCCAGAGAAAGGAGGCGAGAGCAGCCCAAAGGGAGGCCCAGCCUUACUGGAGAGAAUUUAGAGGCCAAAAUGGGACCCUGUUGGUGGGAGUCAGGGACUGGAGACAGUCACAAGGUGCUGCCACGGGACCUGGAGAAGGAGGAUGCCCCCCAGGAGAAGGAGCGACCGCUCCAGCAGGUGUCCCCUGUGGCCUCGGUUCCCCGGAGAAGCCACAGCUUCUGCAAGGACAGGAGGAGUGGGCCCUUUGUGGUGAGUGAUGCCACAUGGCUGGAGAGGAUUGCACAGGGGUGCUGGUUGCUGGACACUGCUGUGAAUGUGGUUGUUGGAGCAUCUGGACGGCCCAGGGCCCUGACGGGGUUGAGGGUAGCAGGCAACUGUCCAGGAAUCUGGUGUCACCUGACUAGCUGUGUCGUGGUUCUUGAUGUGGAGGGUGUUUGGUGGCUCUGCUGGGGAAACCUUCCUCUUGAGUUUCCAGCCCAGCACUACCUGGUGUGGAGUGGUUAAGGGAACAUAGACUGGUGUUGGAAAGUCCUGGGUUCAAAUCCCAGCACGGUCUCCUGUGAACCUCUUU
rnacentral:sRNA from 1 species